rfam:Citrus sinensis cultivar Ridge Pineapple sweet orange scaffold00003_contig_451, whole genome shotgun sequence.
GAGAUAAGAGCCAUCUUGCUAGCCAAGGAGAUGGCCUGCAAACCACUCAAAGAUACUACAGUCCUUUCAUUUUCUUGAAGUAGAAUGUAAGCACUACUCUACUUCGUGAUCUGAUUUUAUGUUAAUUAACUCGUAUAUUUUGAGAAAUGAUAAAUAAGUAAGAAUACCGUUGAGGGGCUCCAGGCAAGUCAUCCUUGGCUACAAAACGAGAACCUUUACCU